ensembl:lncRNA
CCCUUCAAUAAAAUAAUCCUACUUAAUGUGGAGAAGGACACUCAGCAAAUGGUCCUAGAGCUUUAAGAUUUCUCUUCAAGGGCGUUAUCAGUGGUCUCUUGGCAAAAGAGCUCAUGGCUUUCCUUCUGUCUGAUGGUGCCCAAGUGACUGUAGUUUAAGCAAAUAGCUUAGCAAAUGUAUUUCUAGGCAAUCAUCUUCUAUGCCAAUCUCUGUGCACCAAUGUCAGGGAAACACAGUAAGUGCUUUACUGCUCAACGGAUCCAAUAUAUCCUCCUCUGUCCUCCAAAGCCUGCAGUUUGUAGUAAAUGGCCAGUGCUAUCAAGUCAGUACCUGCUUUUUCCCCCCCUAUGCAUUGUCAAGAUCUUCACAAGGAAGCUUGGAGGAUGAUAGUCCAGCCUUGGAAAAAAAGCACAUUUGUACAUACCAGGGAGCCCAGCAUCACCCACUUCCGUUAAGUAGGGAAAGCGUUUCCAUGACUUACAACAGUCAGACAGUGAAUACUGUCGCUCACUUUAGCAGCUAUCUUGUCUUUGGGUCACAAAAAGAAGAAAGGCCAAGAUCAUGCUUGGUUCUCUGACAGUGUUCUGCUCAAUUCACAAAGCUCUUCAGCUGGUUCACCUGUGAGCUUGGUUUCCACCACAUUCCAUGGGCACAGGCAAAACUCAUAGCACAAGCACAAUGGUUCAGCCAACAGCCACUGUCUCCUGGGGCCAUCUGUGUUGAACUUGCAGGUUUUCCUCACUGUUUAAAGAGUUAGCCGGCCAUCAGGCAGCUUGCCAGCCGAGCUUCGUCAUAGCUACCCUGCAUCUGAGGCAGAUGGCCAGAUCCACAGAACGUGUGGUAGCUGCCAGCACCUUUCCCAUGGUGCUGGUGGACUCUAGCACACUGCUCUUUCUGGCACUGACUCACACUGGAUGCUUCAAGAUCAAGGACUAAACAGAAGUCAUCCCCUUUGGGGGCCACAGAGGUGACUGUCUUCUGAGCAGGUUGCUGUGAUCUUUCCCCUUCCUGUCUCAGGAGCAAUCCCCUGCCAAACAGCAGAGACUAUGUUGGGAAGAGCAAGAAUGAGAAGGCACUGGAUGUUUUCAAGAUGAAGCCAACCCUCCUCUUCUUCCCAGUACCUUCCAUGCAUUGCUGUUGUCAUUGCCUGCUACCAUUUGCCUGACUGAGAAGCUCAUGUGUCCAGGUUUUAAUCUUUGUAUAGAACACGCUCCGUGACCCCGACAGAGGAAAAGCAGCAAAGUCCUACAUCUAUGGAUGUGUUUAGAAGCGCCAAAUGAUCAAAGUUAACGCUGCGCAGCAGCGACUGAGUUACCCCCAUUAUCUCACGUCCCCGGCUUUGACAGACCGCAUCACUCAGUGCGUGGACGUAUCGCUAUUUGAUACACCAUGAAUAUUCAGGGCGCAUAUUCAAUUAACCAGGUGAGAACACACAGGUUUGUUUUGCAUGUUAACUCCGUGUUAACGCUGCCCCUAAGUGGUUAAGUCGGUUUAUUGCAAGUUAAUUAGCCCUCGUUUCGGGCAGUUAUUUAUUUAUAUGCCGAAGGCUGCCAUGUAUUUUUCUAUUGCAGCUCCGUGACUAGGCCUCGCGUCUCCUGCUUUGUGUUUGCAUCCCGCUCCCUCUGUGGGUUUCACAUUACCGCAACAUUUACAGUCAACUCAGCUUGGAAAAUAAGCGUACGGGGAAACAUGGAUGCCUACUACACGUCUAUUGCUCGAUGCAAGAGAGGCUGUGAUCCUGUUAGCAGGCUCCUCUCCCCAAGCUCGUUUUAAUUAGCAUUUCAAGGGAGGUUUGGUACAGCAAAAUGGUGAAGUUUGAAGCUCUGGUGGGCUGUUCUUUGUAUCUUUGCUCCUGAAUUAAUGGGCUGCUUUGCAAUCGUUUAUCGCCUGGGUACAGCCUGCCCUCUUCCAAGGUGCCCGGGUAGCCGUGGGGCUGGGAGCUUCCCUUCUCCAACUGUGUCCUCCAGCUGCCCCCGGGGACAGGCAGAUAAGGAAGGGAGGGUGCUACAUGCAGCUCAGUGUCUCUGAAGGGCUUCAUGAUGAAACCUGGAACCAAAGGACUGCAGAGUUGGUGACAUGCUGGGCUCCGAGGUACCUGUUAAAAUCAUCCAUCCAUCCAUCCAUCCAUCCAUCCAUCCAUCCAUCCAUCCAUCCAUCCAUCCAUCCCAGUCAUCACACCUCCUUGCUUUAGCUGCUUCUGGGCUGUGACUGGGGAGCUUAGGGCCACAGUACCCUUUCAGGGAUUAAACUGCCCCACCAAAAGGGUUAGUUAGGUGGCCACCAUGACUCUUCAAAGUCCAAACAGGUGACUUCUUCAGCUCCUCAUUUAAUGGAGGGUCGAGUCUCACAUGUCAAAGCAGAUUUUCAUCUCUGAAGAGCUCCUGCUCCCUCUGGGAUGCUGUACAGCAGAAAUGCACCUUGGUGCUCUCCCUGCUUUAUCCUCCUUGGUGGGAUCGGGGUCCAGACAGGCAGGGUUAAGCCAGCAGCAGGCAAAGCUGGGUGGGCACAUUGGGGUUGCAAAGCCGAAGACCUGGAGACAAAUUCAUAGUCAAGUCUCUAGAUGAGCCAAGGAAACCUGGUGAAUAAUGCAGUGCCUGCACUGCACCAUGCAGCGUAGCCAUCCAUCCCUGCUCGGGCUGUGUCUGCAGCACAGGGGGAGAAAGGUGAGGAAGAGCAGCGAUAGUGCAGCUCAGGACACCUGGAUACGUUGGCAGGCAGGCUCUCUCUUGAUUAACCCUGCAGAUUUAUCAGCCUCUGGUUUUCACAAGCUCUGAAAUUCCCAUCUAAGACGUCAUUAAAAAUGAAAAGCGGUGAAUUUUCAGGAGGGUCUCCUGGCUUCAGCACAGAGCACAGGCUACUUUUCCUUCAUGCCACCGCUGCCCUUCACCUUGAAGGAGCCGCAUUUGUCUCCUAUCCCUUUUGCUCAUGAGCAUGCAGACAGGAGUCCGGGGAGGCGUCUCGCUGCCUUGAGCUCCGUGCAUCCAUACAUUACCUCCUUGCAGCACGUCCCAGCGCCAGGGCCGGGAGGGAGGUGUCCGGCCCUGAAAAGCAGGUGCUGGGGAGCUGGGAGGGGUGAGCAGGCAUCCUUCCUUCCACCAUGCCCAGCCUGAGCAGCUCAGGGAGGAGCAAGGGCUGCCUUCAUCCUGGCCUUGCGCAGCGCGGUUGGACGCAGUGUUAAGGAGUCCAGAGGCCGGGAUGUGAAAAGGGAUUCAACGGGCAGCGGGAGAUGAGCUCGCUCAUCUGAAAGAGGCUUUAGGAGGGCAUCGCUGAGGGCACUCUUGCAGAAUCUCUGCAUCUCCACAUCCUAAAAAUCUGCCUCCACAUCUCUGCGGCGCCGCGCUUCUAAUCACGGCUGAGAAGGUCUACAUAAAAGCUCAGGGACUACCUUAAAUACCCCUAGCCAAGCCUUCUUAAAACUCCUAUUAAAAUACAAACGCCACAGUCAAGACAGCAGGCUGGAGAUCUGCCCGGCGGCCAAAUAAAUCAAAAUAUUAUGCUAUUUGCAAGCACCCAUUAAAAUCUGACAAGAGGCAGCGUGGAUCCAAAAGAUAGAAACAACGUGACCCUUCCUGCAGAGCAGCCCAGGUUUACUGCCUGCCCUUUCAGAGCAGGGCUGGUAAUGCUGUCCUUUUCCCAAGGGCUGCAGAAAGGGAUCGCUGGUGGCUGCGGCUCCUCGCAUCCCCAGCCAGCACCAGCCACCCACCAGCCCCUGCCAGGAUGCCCCGUGCCCAGAAGCACAGCUCAAAGCCUCGUGCCAGGAUUCAGGCCAGCGUGAAAAAACAGCCAUUUAUCUGCGUUAGCUGCCUUGGUGACGUCCACGGGCACUUUCUGUGCUCCUGAUAUGUUUUCCUAAACAAAUUAAUAAAUAAAGGACAGAGAGGCUGGGAAGGGGAAAAAAAAAAAAAAAAGAAAAGGACAGAGAAAACGAGCAGAUUUUGAUCUAGUAAGCAAUUUAAAUCUAGGCUGGCAAGCUGCAUUUGUGCAUUCAUUAAUUCCAUCGUGUGCUCAGAAAACCCCAGCAGGACUCCCUUCCAGCGCAAGAACUUCCGACUGUGAAAUAAACCCCGCGUAACCAGAUUAACUAUGAG